UUGCUUUGACUUCAUGUAUACUAACAUGGAAAUGAUACAGAGAUAAACAAGGCCACUGUGCAAGGACAAUUCACCAAUUCAUGGAGCAUUCCAUAUAUUU
rnacentral:snRNA from 1 species